UAUUUGAAGAUAACCCACGCACAUCCUCCUGUAUACUUUAAAUCAUCUCUAGAUUACUCAUAAUACCUAAUACAACGUAAAUGCUCCGCAAGUAAUUAUUACAGUGUAUUGU